rnacentral:rRNA from 1 species
UACGUAGGGUGCAGACGUUAAUCGGAAUUACUGGGCGUAAAGCGUGCGCAGGCGGUCUUUUAAGUCAGAUGUGAAAUCCCCGGGCUUAACCUGGGAACUGCGUUUGAAACUGAAAGGCUAGAGUGUGGCAGAGGGGGGUGGAAUUCCACGUGUAGCAGUGAAAUGCGUAGAGAUGUGGAGGAACACCGAUGGCGAAGGCAGCCCCCUGGGCUAACACUGACGCUCAUGCACGAAAGCGUGGGGAGCAAACAGG